rnacentral:rRNA from 1 species
CUCGUAGGCGGCUGGUCGCGUCUGUCGUGAAAUCCUCUGGCUUAACUGGGGGCUUGCGGUGGGUACGGGCCGGCUUGAGUGCGGUAGGGGAGACUGGAAUUCCUGGUGUAGCGGUGGAAUGCGCAGAUAUCAGGAGGAACACCGGUGGCGAAGGCGGGUCUCUGGGCCGUUACUGACGCUGAGGAGCGAAAGCGUGGAGAGCGAACA